GUCUACGGCUGUGCCACCCUGAACAAGCUUGAUUUCAUCUGAUCUCGGAAGCUAAGCAAAGUUGGGCCUGGUUAGUACUUGGAUAGGAGGCCAUCUAGGAAGACCAGGUGCUGUAGAUG
ensembl:rRNA 5S_rRNA 5S ribosomal RNA